rnacentral:rRNA from 1 species
GAUGAGCGCUGGCGGCGUGCCUAAUACAUGCAAGUCGAGCGAACGGACGAGAAGCUUGCUUCUCUGAUGUUAGCGGCGGACGGGUGAGUAACACGUGGAUAACCUACCUAUAAGACUGGGAUAACUUCGGGAAACCGGAGCUAAUACCGGAUAAUAUUUUGAACCGCAUGGUUCAAUAGUGAAAGACGGUCUUGCUGUCACUUAUAGAUGGAUCCGCGCUGCAUUAGCUAGUUGGUAAGGUAACGGCUUACCAAGGCAACGAUGCAUAGCCGACCUGAGAGGGUGAUCGGCCACACUGGAACUGAGACACGGUCCAGACUCCUACGGGAGGCAGCAGUAGGGAAUCUUCCGCAAUGGGCGAAAGCCUGACGGAGCAACGCCGCGUGAGUGAUGAAGGUCUUCGGAUCGUAAAACUCUGUUAUUAGGGAAGAACAAAUGUGUAAGUAACUGUGCACAUCUUGACGGUACCUAAUCAGAAAGCCACGGCUAACUACGUG